AACGAACGCUGGCGGCAGGCCUAACACAUGCAAGUCGAGCGAGGACUUCGGUUCUAGCGGCGGACGGGUGAGUAACGCGUGGGAAUGUUCCCUUCUCUACGGAAUAGCCCUGGGAAACUGGGAGUAAUACCGUAUACGCCCUUUUGGGGAAAGAUUUAUCGGAGAAGGAUCAGCCCGCGUUGGAUUAGGUAGUUGGUGGGGUAAUGGCCUACCAAGCCGACGAUCCAUAGCUGGUUUGAGAGGAUGAUCAGCCACACUGGGACUGAGACACGGCCCAGACUCCUACGGGAGGCAGCAGUGGGGAAUCUUAGACAAUGGGGGCAACCCUGAUCUAGCCAUGACGCGUGAGUGAUGAAGGCCUUAGGGUUGUAAAGCUCUUUCAGCUGGGAAGAUAAUGACGGUACCAGCAGAAGAAGCCCCGGCUAACUCCGUG
rnacentral:rRNA from 1 species